GACGAACGCUGGCGGCGUGCCUAAUACAUGCAAGUUGAGCGCUGAAGGUUGGUACUUGUACCGACUGGAUGAGCAGCGAACGGGUGAGUAACGCGUGGGGAAUCUGCCUUUGAGCGGGGGACAACAUUUGGAAACGAAUGCUAAUACCGCAUAAAAACUUUAAACACAAGUUUUAAGUUUGAAAGAUGCAAUUGCAUCACUCAAAGAUGAUCCCGCGUUGUAUUAGCUAGUUGGUGAGGUAAAGGCUCACCAAGGCGAUGAUACAUAGCCGACCUGAGAGGGUGAUCGGCCACAUUGGGACUGAGACACGGCCCAAACUCCUACGGGAGGCAGCAGUAGGGAAUCUUCGGCAAUGGACGAAAGUCUGACCGAGCAACGCCGCGUGAGUGAAGAAGGUUUUCGGAUCGUAAAACUCUGUUGGUAGAGAAGAACGUUGGUGAGAGUGGAAAGCUCAUCAAGUGACGGUAACUACGCAGAAAGGGACGGCUAACUACGUG
rnacentral:rRNA from 1 species